rnacentral:tRNA from 1 species
CGGGGUGUAGCGCAGCUUGGUAGCGCACCUGAAUGGGGUUCAGGUGGUCGCCGGUUCAAAUCCGGCCACCCCGACCA